AAAUGUAUUAAUUCAAUAAUUAAAUAUUCUUAGAUUCAAUCAAACUAUAGAUUUCCCAUAUGUAUAAUGUUUCUGAUAAUUAAUUUGUAUCGAUAUUUGAUCUUUUAUAGUCAAAUGAGAAAUGAAACAUUAUAAUCAUUUAAGAUACAGGACCAGAAGAGGGACAGUCUAUCCUAUUAAUAGAGAUAGAUGAGUAUGGUUUAGAGCAGAGAUGAUUUUAAUGUUUCUGACAUUAAUUUCACCGAGUUUGUGAUGGAAAAAUAGGAACUGAAAAAGAAAGAAUAAUCAACGUAUGAAGGAAAAAUCAAA